rnacentral:rRNA from 1 species
UACGUAGGUGGCAAGCGUUGUCCGGAAUUACUGGGUGUAAAGGGCGUGUAGGCGGGGGAACAAGUCAGAUGUGAAAUCCCGAGGCUUAACUUCGGAGCUGCAUCUGAAACUGUUCUUCUUGAGUGUCGGAGAGGAAAGUGGAAUUCCCAGUGUAGCGGUGAAAUGCGUAGAGAUUGGGAGGAACACCAGUGGCGAAGGAGGCUUUCUGGACGAUAACUGACGAUGAGGCGCGAAAGCGUGGGGAGCAAACAGG